rnacentral:snoRNA from 1 species
UUUACAAUGUUGAUUGCAAUUCAAAGUGCUUUCGCUUUCUGAAUAAACCGUAAGUGGCGUCCACAGGAUGGCUACAAUUAAGUGGCGCCCGCUGAGGGG